GACGAACGCUGGCGGCGUGCCUAAUACAUGCAAGUAGGACGCAGUUGCGAACGGGUGAGUAACGCGUAGGUAACUACCUAUUAGAGGGGGGUAACUAUUGGAAACGAUAGCUAAUACCGCAUACUAGUAGAUGGACCUGCGUUGUAUUAGCUAGUAGGUAGGGCAAUGGCCUCCCUAGGGAACGAUACAUAGCCGACUCGAGAGGGUGAACGGGCAAAACGGGAAUGAGACACGGCUCAGACUCCUACGGGAGGCAGCAGUAGGGAAUCUUCGGAAAUGGGGGGAACCCUGACCGAGCAACUCCGCGGGAGUGAAGAAGGUUUUCGGAUCGUAAAGCUCUGUUGUUAAGGAAGCGGUACUUAACCAGAAAGGGACGGCUAACUACGUGCCAGCAGCCGCGGUAAUUC
rnacentral:rRNA from 1 species